CUUGACAAAAUAUAAGAGGUCCAGCCUGCCCAGUGAUAAAUUUAACGGCCGCGGUAUCCUAACCGUGCGAAGGUAGCAUAAUCAUUUGUUCUUUAAAUGGGGACUUGUAUCAACGGCACCACGAGGGCCAUACUGUCUCCUUUCUCUAGUCAGUGAAACUGAUCUCCCCGUGAAGAAGCGGGGAUUUAACUAUUAGACGAGAAGACCCCAUGGAGCUUAAAACUCAUCAUAUAAUUCUGUACCUCAUACCACCUUAAUUCAGAAUCCUAUAUGCUAGUUUUAGGUUGGGGGGACCUCGGAGUAUAAUUUAACCUCCAUAACAAAUGGGCUAAUACCCUUAUCCAAGACAAACACCUCUAAGAAUUAUUAAAUUAAUGUUUAAUGACCCGAUAUAUUCGAUCAAUGAAC
rnacentral:rRNA from 1 species